rnacentral:rRNA from 1 species
AGUGAACGCUGGCGGCGUGCCUAAUACAUGCAAGUCGAACGAAGUGGCGCACGGGUGAGUAAUAUAUAGUUAAUCUGCCCUACACAGAUGAACAACAGUUUGAAACGACUGCUAAUACCUCAUAGUAUAGGAUGAGACUAUAUCGUAUCAGCUAGUUGGUAAGGUAAUGGCUUACCAAGGCUAUGACGCGUAACUGGUCUGAGCGAAUAAUCAGUCACAUUGGAAGUGAGACACGGUCCAAACUCCUACGGGAGGCAGCAGUAAGGAAUAAUGCGCAAUGGGGGAAACCCUGACGCAGCAAAGCCGCGUGGAGGAUAACACUUUUCGGAGCGUAAACUCGUUUUAUAAGGAAAGAGGUACCUGAGGAAUAAGCACCGGAUAACACCGUGCCAGCAGCCGCGGUAAUAC